AGCGAACGCUGGCGGCAUGCUUAACACAUGCAAGUCGAGCGGGCAUCUUCAGAUUUUAGCGGCAGACGGGUUGGUAACCCGGGGGGACGUACCCUUCGGUUCGGAACAACUCUGGGAAACUGGAGCUAAUACCGGAUACGCCCAUAUGGGGAAAGGUUUUCUGCCGUAGGAUCGGCUCGCGUCUGAUUAGCUUGUUGGUUGGGUUACGGCAUACCAAGGCGACGAUCAGUAUCUGGUCUGAGAGGAUGAUCAACGACACUGGGACUUAGACACAGACCCGAAUCCUACGGGAGGCAGGAGUGUAGAACAUUGGGGAAGGGGCGCAGGCCUGAUACAGCCAGGCCGCGGAAGUGAUGCAGGCCUUAGGGAUGUGAUGCUCUUUUGUCCGGGACGAUAAUGACGGUACCGGAAGAAUAAGCCCCGGCUAACUACGUG
rnacentral:rRNA from 1 species